ACACUCCUGCGGGAGGCAGCAGUGGGGAAUAUUGGACAAUGGGCGCAAGCCUGAUCCAGCCAUGCCGCGUGAGUGAUGAAGGCCCUAGGGUUGUAAAGCUCUUUCACCGGAGAAGAUAAUGACGGUAUCCGGAGAAGAAGCCCCGGCUAACUUCGUGCCAGCAGCCGCGGUAAUACGAAGGGGGCUAGCGUUGUUCGGAAUUACUGGGCGUAAAGCGCACGUAGGCGGAUCGAUCAGUCAGGGGUGAAAUCCCAGGGCUCAACCCUGGAACUGCCUUUGAUACUGUCGAUCUGGAGUAUGGAAGAGGUGAGUGGAAUUCCGAGUGUAGAGGUGAAAUUCGUAGAUAUUCGGAGGAACACCAGUGGCGAAGGCGGCUCACUGGUCCAUUACUGACGCUGAGGUGCGAAAGCGUGGGGAGCAAACAGGAUUAGAAACCCUGGUAGUCC
rnacentral:rRNA from 1 species